rnacentral:sRNA from 1 species
UUGAUUUAUAAUGUUCGAAAUGUCAUUGCUUCCCUUUUCAGCAGCCACUGUACCAUGAGGUUGCUUGAUUUUCUACCCUGCUGGAUUAAACCCUUGAGAUGAAACAGAAUAAUGCAGGACAUGAUUACAGUGGUGUAACAGUCAUUCUGGGGAAAAGCAGAUCAAUUCAGGGGACACUUGGCCCUUGCUUGUGAUGGAUCCUUAAAGCAAAUCUGAAUCUACUUCUUCACGGCCAUGAGAGGAAACCAGAAGCCCAGAGCAUCUUGAAGGCAGGCUUUAUUACUUAUUUGGCUCUGCUGGUAAGAUGCCUCUGUAAGGCAUCAUGUGCAAAGCAGGUCCCAUGCAAGCGGCGCAGGCAGCCCUGUGAUGGAGCUGCAUGGGGUUUGUUCAUAGCCACAAAGAAAAACUUAUAAGUGGAUUAGUUUAGGGUUUAUUUUAAAAGAAAAUAGAAGCGUAGCUGUGGUGAUCUCUUGCUUAAUGACUAACGUAAGCUGGCAUCCCUGCUUUCCUCUGUGUGUGUGUGUGUGUGUGUGUGUGUGUGUGUGUGUGGUGUGUAUUGAAGAUUGAUGAGCUGGAAGAACAAUGCAGUGAGAUCAACAGAGAGAAGGAGAAGAACACGCAGCUGAAGAGGAGGAUCGAGGAGCUGGAGGCAGAGCUCCGAGAAAAGGAGACAGAGCUGAAAGAUCUCCGAAAACAAAGUGAAAUCAUACCUCAGCUCAUGUCAGAGUGCGAAUAUGUCUCUGAGAAGCUAGAGGCGGCAGAGAGAGACAAUCAAAGCCUGGAAGACAAAGUGCGUUCCUUAAAGACAGACAUUGAGGAGAGCAAAUACCGACAGCGCCACCUGAAGGUGGAGUUGAAGAGUUUCCUGGAGGUGCUGGACGGGAAGAUUGACGACCUGCAUGACUUCCGCCGAGGCCUCUCCAAGCUGGGCACCGAUAACUAGGGCUGGCCGAGGCCCAGGCCCCGCCCGUGAGUCCCA